rnacentral:rRNA from 1 species
GCCAGACUCCUACGGGAGGCAGCAGUGGGGGAUAUUGCACAAUGGGGGGAACCCUGAUGCAGCGACGCCGCGUGGGUGAAGGAGCGUUUCGGCGCGUAAAGCCCUAUCGGCAGGGAAGAAGGAGGACGGUACCUGACUAAGAAGCCCCGGCUAACUACGUGCCAGCAGCCGCGGUAAUACGUAGGGAGCAAGCGUUGUUCGGAAUGACUGGGCGUAAAGGGUGCGUAGGCGGUUGUACAAGUUAGAAGUGAAAUACCCAGGGCUUAACUCGGGUGCUGCUUCUAAAACUGUAUGACUUGAGUGCAGUAGAGGUUAGUGGAAUUCCUAGUGUAGCGGUGGAAUGCGUAGAUAUUAGGAGGAACACCAGAGGCGAAGGCGGCUAACUGGACUGCAACUGACGCUGAGGCACGAAAGUGUGGGGAGCAAACAGGAUUAGAUACCCCAGUAGA